AGCAGCCGCGGUAAUUCCAGCUCCAAUAGCGUAUAUUAAAGUUGUUGCAGUUAAAAAGCUCGUAGUUGAAUUUCGGGGUUAGUAGGUUGGUCAUGCCUCUGGUAUGUACUGGUCUCACUGAUUCCUCCUUCCUGAUGAGCCGUAAUGCCAUUAAUUUGGUGUUGCGGGGAAUUUGGACUGUUACUUUGAAAAAAUUAGAGUGUUUAAAGCAAGCUAACGCUUGAAUACAUUAGCAUGGAAUAAUGAAAUAGGACGUUCGAUCCUAUUUUGUGGUUUCUAGGAUUGACGUAAUGAUUAAUAGGGAUAGUUGGGGGCAUUAGUAUUCAAUUGUCAGAGGUGAAAUUCUUGGAUUUAUUGAAGACUAACUACUGCGAAAGCAUUUGCCAAGGAUGUUUUCAUUAAUCAAGAACGAAAGUUAGGGGAUCGAAGACGGAUCAGAUACCGUCGUAGUCUUAACCAUAAACUAUGCCGACUAGGGAUCGGAUGAUGUUAAUUUUUAAUGACUCAUUCGGCGCCUUAC
rnacentral:rRNA from 1 species